UACUCUAGAAUGUUUGUUGCCAAGCGACAGCUCAUAAUAGUUGGACACAUAGCUGUGUCUCAGAUUCUCAUCUAUAUCCUUUUCCAGGAAAACUCUUCUCAGGUGUCUCCUCCAUCACUUUUCACCCUUAUUAGCAUUAGGAGGGAAGCAGAGAAAUGGAGAAUGGGUUGCAAAGUGCUUCGCACAGCACUUCUCUGGAGCAGAGAGGGUACAGAAUACAGGGAGACAAGUUCUGGAGGCUGGGAAGUCCAAGAUCAAGAUGCUGGCAUCUUGCAGCAAGGGCCUUAUUGCUGCAUCAUCACAUGUCAAAGAAGAAAGCGUGGAGCAAAGAAGUUACUCUGUGAAUGA
rnacentral:lncRNA from 13 species